rnacentral:rRNA from 1 species
UACGAAGGGGGCUAGCGUUGCUCGGAAUCACUGGGCGUAAAGGGUGCGUAGGCGGGUUUUUAAGUCAGGGGUGAAAUCCUGGAGCUCAACUCCAGAACUGCCUUUGAUACUGAAGAUCUUGAGUUCGGGAGAGGUGAGUGGAACUGCGAGUGUAGAGGUGAAAUUCGUAGAUAUUCGCAAGAACACCAGUGGCGAAGGCAGCCCCCUGGGCCAACACUGACGCUCAGGCACGAAAGCGUGGGGAGCAAACAGG